rnacentral:rRNA from 1 species
GAUGGCGGGUCCUAUAAUGCAGUCGACGAGUUCUGAUUAUUGAAAGGUGCUUGCAUCUUGAUUUAAUUUUGAACGAGUGGCGGACGGGUGAGUAACACGUGGGUAACCUGCCCUUAAGUGGGGGAUAACAUUUGGAAACAGAUGCUAAUACCGCAUAAAUCCAAGAACCGCAUGGUUCUUGGCUGAAAGAUGGCGUAAGCUAUCGCUUUUGGAUGGACCCGCGGCGUAUUAGCUAGUUGGUGAGGUAACGGCUCACCAAGGCAAUGAUACGUAGCCGAACUGAGAGGUUGAUCGGCCACAUUGGGACUGAGACACGGCCCAAACUCCUACGGGAGGCAGCAGUAGGGAAUCUUCCACAAUGGACGCAAGUCUGAUGGAGCAACGCCGCGUGAGUGAAGAAGGCUUUCGGGUCGUAAAACUCUGUUGUUGGAGAAGAAUGGUCGGCAGAGUAACUGUUGUCGGCGUGACGGUAUCCAACCAGAAAGCCACGGCUAACUACGUGCCAGCAGCCGCGGUAAUACGUAGGUGGCAAGCGUUAUCCGGAUUUAUUGGGCGUAAAGCGAGCGCAGGCGGUUUUUUAAGUCUGAUGUGAAAGCCCUCGGCUUAACCGAGGAAGUGCAUCGGAAACUGGGAAACUUGAGUGCAGAAGAGGACAGUGGAACUCCAUGUGUAGCGGUGAAAUGCGUAGAUAUAUGGAAGAACACCAGUGGCGAAGGCGGCUGUCUGGUCUGUAACUGACGCUGAGGCUCGAAAGCAUGGGUAGCGAACAGGAUUAGAUACCCUGGUAGUCCAUGCCGUAAACGAUGAAUGCUAGGUGUUGGAGGGUUUCCGCCCUUCAGUGCCGCAGCUAACGCAUUAAGCAUUCCGCCUGGGGAGUACGACCGCAAGGUUGAAACUCAAAGGAAUUGACGGGGGCCCGCACAAGCGGUGGAGCAUGUGGUUUAAUUCGAAGCAACGCGAAGAACCUUACCAGGUCUUGACAUCUUUUGAUCACCUGAGAGAUCAGGUUUCCCCUUCGGGGGCAAAAUGACAGGUGGUGCAUGGUUGUCGUCAGCUCGUGUCGUGAGAUGUUGGGUUAAGUCCCGCAACGAGCGCAACCCUUAUGACUAGUUGCCAGCAUUUAGUUGGGCACUCUAGUAAGACUGCCGGUGACAAACCGGAGGAAGGUGGGGAUGACGUCAAAUCAUCAUGCCCCUUAUGACCUGGGCUACACACGUGCUACAAUGGAUGGUACAACGAGUUGCGAGACCGCGAGGUCAAGCUAAUCUCUUAAAGCCAUUCUCAGUUCGGACUGUAGGCUGCAACUCGCCUACACGAAGUCGGAAUCGCUAGUAAUCGCGGAUCAGCACGCCGCGGUGAAUACGUUCCCGGGCCUUGUACACACCGCCCGUCACACCAUGAGAGUUUGUAACACCCGAAGCCGGUGGCGUAACCCUUUUAGGGAGCGAGCCGUCUAAGGUGGGACAAAUGAUUAGGGUGAAGUCGUAACAAGGGAACCA